rnacentral:rRNA from 1 species
UCAUUAUCUUACUUUUAUUUAUUUAUUUAUUUAUUUUGAGAAGUUUCUUUUUAUUUAGUAUAAUUUUUAGAAUUUUAAUUUUUAGUAAUAGUUUAUUAGUACCGUGGGGGAAAUUUUUGAAAUAUUUUGAAAUAUUUAUUUUUUAUAAAGUAUAUUUUGUUUAUAUUACCUUUUGCAUCAGGGUUGAUUAAUUUUUAAAAAUUUAUUUUUUUUUCUCGAUUUUAUAAGAGCUGAUUAAUAUAAUUUGUUUACUGUGGUAAAAUUAUCAAUAAUAUUAAUCUGUAAAGAAAUUUUAUUCGUUUAUAAUGGUAUCUAGUUUUUUAAGAAUUAAAUUUAAUUUAGAUUUGUAACUUACGAUUUUGUUUUAAAAAUUUUUUAUUUUAUGGGUUUAAAAUAAUGGGGGAUUAGCUCUUUUGUUUUUCUAAAAUUUUUUUGUUGUUGAAUUUUUGUAGGGUUAGAAGCACCCAUCCUUGAUUACGUUAUAGUACUGAUUUAUUUAUUUUCGAUUUAUUUUUUUAUUUAGUAUGUUAUUAAAAUGUUUUAUUUACUUUUUUAAUAAAAGUUAUUAUGAUUAAAUUAGUAUAUUUAAUUGUUUAAUUUGUUUUGGAUUUUUAUGUUGGGCUAAGGAACUCGGCAAAUAUAAUGUUCGCCUGUUUAUCAAAAACAUGUCUUCCUGUUUUUAUUGGAAGUCUGACCUGCCCAGUGAUUAUUUUAACGGCCGCGGUAUAUUGACCGUGCAAAGGUAGCAUAAUCAUUAGUCUUUUAAAAGGAGGCUGGAAUGAAAGGUUUGACGAGACAUUUACUGUCUCAGCCUUAAUUAUUAAAAUUUAACUUUUGAGUUAAAAGGCUUAAAUUUUGUUGGAAGACGAGAAGACCCUAUAGAGCUUUAUGGUUUUUUCUUUAUUUUCUUUAUAAUUAGUUUUAUUGAUUAAACUUUUUUGUUGGGGUGACAAGAAAUAUAUAUUUAACUUUUUUAUUUAUAAUACAUUUAUUUAUGAUUUAUUAGAUCCAGUAUUAGUGAUUAUUAGAGUAAGUUACCUUAGGGAUAACAGCGUAAUCUUCUUUAGGAGUUCAUAUUUACAAGAAGGAUUGCGACCUCGAUGUUGGAUUAAGAUUAUAAUUGGGUGCAGUUGCUCAAUAAUAUAGGUCUGUUCGACCUUUAAAUUCUUACAUGAUCUGAGUUCAGACCGGUUUAAGCCAGGUCGGUUUCUAUCUCCAAUUUUUUGGUAAUUUUUAGUACGAAAGGACCAUUAUUACAAAAUAUUUUUUUACAGUUUUGUUUAAUAUUA